rnacentral:rRNA from 1 species
UACGUAGGGACCAAGCGUUGUUCGGAAUCACUGGGCGUAAAGGGCGUGUAGGCGGUCAGGUAAGUGGGACGUGAAAUGCCUCGGCUCACCCGAGGAGCGGCGUCCCAUACUGCUUGGCUUGAGUACGGGAGAGGAUGUGGGAAUUCCUGGUGUAGCGGUGAAAUGCGUAGAUAUCAGGAGGAACACCGGUGGCGAAGGCGCACAUCUGGCCCGAUACUGACGCUGAGGCGCGAAAGCUAGGGGAGCAAACGGG